CCUACGGGUGGCAGCAGUGGGGAAUAUUGCACAAUGGGGAAACCCUGAUGCAGCGACGCCGCGUGAGUGAAGAAGUAUUUCGGUAUGUAAAGCUCUAUCAGCAGGGAAGAAAUAAAGUCCUUCGGACUUUGGACGGUACCUGACUAAGAAGCCCCGGCUAACUACGUGCCAGCAGCCGCGGUAAUACGUAGGGGGCAAGCGUUAUCCGGAUUUACGGGGUGUAAAGGGAGCGGAGACGGCAGCGCAAGUCUGGAGUGAAAUCCCAGGGCUUAACCAUGGAACUGCUUUGGAAACUGUGCAGCUGGAGUGCAGGAGAGGGAAGCGGAAUUCCUAGUGUAGCGGUGAAAUGCGUAGAUAUUAGGAGGAACACCAGUGGUGAAGGCGGCUGACUGGACUGUAACCGACGUUGAGGCUCGAAAGCGUGGGGAGCAAACAGGAUUAGAUACCCCAGUAGUC
rnacentral:rRNA from 1 species